GUUUCGUUUCGUUUUGUCGCUCGCUUGGAGUGGCUACCGUUCGUUUCAGUGCUGCCCUACCUGUCGAAUCGCUUACAACGCGUGAAACGCAUUGGCGGAAACCGCGCGCGCGUUAGAAGAGGAAAAACACGCAUUUCAACGUCGUCGUUGUCGUCGUCGUUGUUUUCGUUGUUGUUGUAGCCACAGCAGCCGCGAAACACCAGCAAACGGCGUUAAAUCUAUUGAAAUGCGGAAACUUUUGUAAAAAACUUUUGAAAAAUCUACAAAAAUCAA